GCCAGUAUAGUGUAGUGGUUUGAGUGUUGGGCUAUGGCUCCAGAGAUCAGGGUUUGAUCCCCUGCUCAAGCA